rnacentral:rRNA from 1 species
CAGUCGCCACGGGAAUACAGAGGGUGCGAGCGUUAAUCGGAUUUACUGGGCGUAAAGCGUGCGUAGGCGGCUUCUUAAGUCGGAUGUGAAAUCCCUGAGCUUAACUUAGGAAUUGCAUUCGAUACUGGGAAGCUAGAGUAUGGGAGAGGAUGGUAGAAUUCCAGGUGUAGCGGUGAAAUGCGUAGAGAUCUGGAGGAAUACCGAUGGCGAAGGCAGCCAUCUGGCCUAAUACUGACGCUGAGGUACGAAAGCAUGGGGAGCAAACAGGAUUAGAUACCCCCAGUAGUCCCUGUCUCUUAUA